AAUCCUGGCUCAGGACGAACGCUGGCGGCGCGCCUAACACAUGCAAGUCGAACGAGAGAGAAGGAGCUUGCUUCUUCGAUCGAGUGGCGAACGGGUGAGUAACGCGUGAGGAACCUGCCUCAAAGAGGGGGACAACAGUUGGAAACGACUGCUAAUACCGCAUAAGCCCACAGGUCGGCAUCGACCAGAGGGAAAAGGAGUAAUCCGCUUUGAGAUGGCCUCGCGUCCGAUUAGCUAGUUGGUGAGGUAA
rnacentral:rRNA from 1 species